UGAAGUUUGUGACACCAUGGAACAGAGACAUUGGAAUUGAGUUCUUCACUUUCCAGUCUAGCUUUUUUUGUGGAAUUGGUUGACUUAAUUGUCAUCGAAGAAUACUGUGCAUCAAUGUCGAUUUCAAUUUGUCGACAAGCAGUGCCUGCAGGGUUGACCCUGAGCUCGCUAUUUCAAGCAUAUGCCUCGACGUGCAAGGAACAACUUAAUUAAUUACAACUUGCUUGCGGACUUUUACGAAGUCCCAACCAGGAUCUUCAGGUAAUAUUGUGUCGUUCAAUAAGCAACAAGUCACCUUGAUGCGUCAGAUCGUGAUUCAGAUUGAGCUUCUCGGCUGGAUUUCUCUUUUUUCUUUGCACGAACCUCGUUCCCCUGAUCUUAGCUGGCAAGUUAUCAGCAUCGAAGAGGAUCUCGAAAGGC
rnacentral:lncRNA from 1 species